GUCCAAAAAGUGAUUAGUUUGAAUAAAAAUACUAUAUCAGAUGGCGUAUCUACGAAUUCCAUUGCAAGACCUAUUAAGAAAGUAUAUUCAGAUGGGGGAAGAACUGUCAUUACAAGAUUGGAUUCACUUGGUGGAUCUGGCUUUCAGGUCCCAUGUGUUUCUAGAGUUCGAAGGAGCCGUCCGAGGAAAGACGUUGUAGCCCUUGUGUUCGCCCUUCCAGACAAAGACC
rnacentral:misc_RNA from 1 species